rnacentral:rRNA from 1 species
UACGAAGGGUGCAAGCGUUAAUCGGAAUUACUGGGCGUAAAGGGUGCGUAGGCGGUUCGUUAAGUCUGUCGUGAAAUCCCCGGGCUCAACCUGGGAAUGGCGAUGGAUACUGGCGAGCUAGAGUGUGUCAGAGGAUGGUGGAGUUCCCGGUGUAGCGGUGAAAUGCGUAGAGAUCGGGAGGAACAUCAGUGGCGAAGGCGGCCAUCUGGGACAACACUGACGCUGAAGCACGAAAGCGUGGGGAGCAAACAGG